UCGAAGCUUCACUGUGUAUUAACGUUCCUCAUGGUGGACCAACCGCCACAUUCACUCUUACGCAGCGCCUGUAGAAGAGUACGGAUACCUUAACACAGGAGCCGGGAUAGCGCAAUCGGCAUAACGACUGGCUACCGGCUGGACGGCCUAUGGUUCGGAGUUCGAGUUCUGCAGUGCGUGGGCAGAGAAGAAGAAGUGAAGGAAACGGUUAAAGACUGGCUCAUUGGACCGACGGCAGAACCUACGAUGCAGGAAUAGAGAAACUCGUUACACGAUACAUGUGCCUGAAUCUUCAGACGGAUUAUGUAGAAAAGUGAUUUAAGGUAUCCAAGUCUCUUUCUUCAGACAUAAUCUUCAAUUGUCCAUCGACUCUUCCAAUUUUCCGUUCAAGUUGUGUGUCCACGAUAUGUUCCGCAUAUUCUGAUUUUUCCUUAUUGUAUUUGUAUUAGACCGCAUUAUGGACAUUGUCUUAAUAAGUAAAGGAACUGUCUGCAGAAAGGUAAGGUAAAAGUUGAAGUUAAAGUUAUCCCUGUAACAGGCCGUGAA